GACGAACGCUGGCGGCGUGCUUAACACAUGCAAGUCGAACGGAAAGGCCUGCUUUCCCUUGUGGAUUGCGGGUACUCGAGUGGCGAACGGGUGAGUACCACGUGAGUGAUCUGCCCCCAACUUGGGUAUAAGCCUGGGAAACUGGGUCUAAUUCCCGAUAGGACUGCAGGGUGGUGCCUGUGGUGGAAAACGAUUUUCUAGUGGUUGGGGAUGAGCUCGCGGCCUAUCAGCUUGUUGGUGGGGUAAUGGCCUACCAAGGCGGCGACGGGUAGCCGGCCUGAGAGGGUGGACGGCCACAUUGGGACUGAGAUACGGCCCAGACUCCUACGGGAGGCAGCAGUGGGGAAUAUUGCACAAUGGGCGGAAGCCUGAUGCAGCGACGCCGCGUGGGGGAUGACGGCCUUCGGGUGGUAAACUCCUUUCGACCGCGAGGAAGCCACCUGGUUGGAAGGGUGGUGACGGUAGUGGUAGAAGAAGCACCGGCUAACUACGUG
rnacentral:rRNA from 1 species